UACGAAGGUGGCAAGCGUUACUCGGAAUUACUAGGCGUAAAGGGCAGGUAGGUGGUUUGGUUAGUCUGUUGUGAAAGCUCCUUGCUUAACGGGGAGAGGCCAACAGAUACUGCCAGACUUGAGUAUGGGAGAGGGUACUGGAAUUCCCGGUGUAGCGGUGAAAUGCGCAGAGAUCGGGAGGAACACCAAUGGCGAAAGCAGGUACCUGGACCAUUACUGACACUCAGCUGCGAAAGCUAGGGGAGCAAACAGG
rnacentral:misc_RNA from 1 species